rnacentral:rRNA from 2 species
ACACACCGCCCGUCACUCUCUCCUAGUCUAACAAGCCUUAUAUUUAUAAUUCUCCUACCUAGCAAAGGAGAGACAAGUCGUAACAUGGUAAGUGUACCGGAAGGUGUACUUGGACAAAUCAAUAUGUAGCUAAAUAGAAAAGCAUCUCUUUUAC